AGGAUGAACGCUGGCGGUCUGCUUAACACAUGCAAGUCGAACGGGCGUAGCAAUACGUUAGUGGCGGACAGGUGAGUAACGCGUGAGAAUCUACCUUCAGGACGGAGACAACAGUUGGAAACGACUGCUAACCCCCGAUGUACUGAAAAGGCAAAUAUUUAUAGCCUGAAGAAGAGCUCGCGUCCGAUUAGCUAGUUGGAGAGGUAAAAGCUCACCAAGGCGACGAUCGGUAGCUGGUCUGAGAGGACGAUCAGCCACACUGGGACUGAGACACGGCCCAGACUCCUACGGGAGGCAGCAGUGGGGAAUUUUCCGCAAUGGGCGAAAGCCUGACGGAGCAAGACCGCGUGGGGGAAGAAGGCUCUUGGGUUGUAAACCCCCUUUUCUCUGGGAAGAAAGUUGUGAAAGCAGCCUGACGGUACCAGAGGAAUCAGCAUCGGCUAACUCCGUGCCAGCAGCCGC
rnacentral:rRNA from 1 species